rnacentral:rRNA from 1 species
CCUACGGGAGGCAGCAGUGAGGAAUAUUGGUCAAUGGGCGAGAGCCUGAACCAGCCAAGUCGCGUGAGGGAGUACUGCCCUAUGGGUUGUAAACCUCUUUUGUCGGGGAGCAAAAGCCGGACGUGUCCGGCUGUGAGAGUACCCGAAGACACAGCAUCGGCUAACCCCGUGCAAGCAGCCGCGGUCAUACGGGGGAUGCGAGCGUUAUCCGGAUUUAUUGGGUUGAAAGGGUGCGCAGGCGGAUUUUUACGUCAGCGGUCAAAUCGUGGGUCUAAACCCCAUCCAGCCGGUGAAACUGGGGAUCUAGAGUGUGCGAGAGGGAUGCGGAAUUCGGGGGGUAGCGGUGAAAUGCAUAGAUAUCACGCAGAACCCCGAUUGCGAAGGCAGCAUACCGGUGCACAACUGACGCUCAGGCACGAAAGCGUGGGUAUCGAACAGGAUUAGAUACCCCUGUAGUC